UAACGCUGGGCUUCGUUCGUCGUUUCUCGAGGAGGAGUAGUGAGCGGUGAGUGGUCGGUCGGAGUGGAGACAGGUCCUCUGGUUUUCCGGCUUGGUUGUUCGUGGUUAGGGUGCCUCUCUCUCUCUUUCGACCCGAAACAUUCGAUUGCUCAGUUUACAUGAACAUCGAACAUGGCGGGUGGUUAGUGGUGACCUGUCGUCGGUCGCCGAUUAUAGAGGAGGUUGUCACCUUUCUAGCUAUGUCUAUCUCCUCCCUAGCUCCCUCUGCGCGCGGCGCGCGGCGGCCGGCCCCUCGUGAAAGGUCGGCCGGAACUCGGUAGUACACGUUGUGGCCGCGGUCGGGAGGGGGGAGCGGCGGCGUGGAAGGCGGCGGGGAGCGGACGAAGUUCUUAAGGAGGGUGGACGAGGUGGGGCACCCACUGGUGGUGCUGCUGCUGCUGUCGGUGGUGGCGCGGGCGCGUGACCGCGAGAGGUUCCACCGGCCGCUCCGCGCCCGCUAGCCCGCCGACAGCCACGGGUACCGUCACUGCCCCGAGCAGUACAUGAGCGCGUCGAAGUAGAGGUACGAGAAGGAGCCGGUCGACCCCCUCGACCGCGAGCGGCCGCCGAGUGAGCGCGAGCCGAAGCGGUUGUAGUGCCCGAUGAGGCACGAGAGGCCCGACCGCGAGCCGUACCUCGGGUAGACGCCGGUCCGGAAGCCGCGCGCGGCUCCGUUCGACGACCGCGAGCGCGAGGUGGCCUGGCACGACGACGAGGAGCGCCACCGCGACGGGUAGAGGGAGGACACCUAGUGGAGGUGCCCGGUGUAUGAGUUCAACGAGCCGGUCCUGCUCCCGCACCGGUCGCGGCGCGUCUGCAAGCGCCGGAUGCGCAGCCGGCUGGACCGCCACGACCGGCAGGACGUGGGCGACGCCCACAUGGAGGCCAGCGUCUUGGAGUGCGACGGGUAGUGGCGCACGAGGGAGAAGAGGCACGACGAGGUGCCCGGUUAGUUGAUGGAGGAGCACCACGCGGAGGCGUACCCGCAGCGGCCGCAGCGCGAGCGGCAACGCGAGUGGCUGGAGUUGGACGAGGACCGCGAAGAUACGAAGGAGCGGUAGAGCCCCCGGGUGUUCCUGAGCACCCACCUAGGCUGGAGGCUGACGGAGGCGCCGACCCCCCGCUACGAGGCAGAGCGGCAAGGGUGACGGUGGCGCCAGACGGAGCUCACCACCACCAUGCUCGAGUACUAGCACGACAGACCCGAAGAUGGGUUGGGCGCGCGGUGGCACCGGAGGUACCCUUAGGAGUAGGUCCGGUGCAGCGAGCAGAUGCACAAGGGCAGAAGCGAGCCGGUCCCGCGCAGGUGCGCGCAGUCGGUGGUCGAGCCGCGCCCAGCGGGCCGCCCGCGGGCGGCGCGGCGACCGCGGCGCGAGAAGUAGCCGGAGCAGUAACCGCGGCAUCGAAGGUGGAAGUACCAUAGGCAGGCUUUGGUGACCCCGGCGUACAAGUGCAGCCUGAGCCUUUAGGACGCCGAGUGGCGCCACCGCGAGGGUUAGCGCCCCGACACGCUCGAGCCGUUAAAGGGCGUCUGGCGGCCCACGCCCCACGAGGCCCCCUCGCGCGCCGGGCGGUCGCCGCGAGCGUAAUUGGACCGGAGGAAGAUGGAGCACCCGUACGGCCACCCCAACCGCGACCGGAAGCCGCGCGCGGAACCGAAGCGACCGGACACCGACCCGGAGGACCGCCGCGUCCGGCGGACGCGCCACACCUACCGCGCGCGGCACCGGCGGUGACUGACCCUGCAGCUCCACCGCGCGCGGUUCCUCGACUGCUUUGGGUGAUGGUCGAGGUUGUUGAGGCUUACGUUGUGGUUGUGUAGUUCGCUGUCACGACGGCGAUCGUGGUUUCGUCGCCAUUGAUGACCGUUACGGCCACCUUUGUUCUUGUUUUUGCCGAUGCACGGCUAGUCGCUCUCGCCGUUGCUGCUGCGCGAUGUCUUCGACCUCCUUCCCGAGUACAGGUACUGGUCGAGAUCGUCGUAGCCGUCGUCGUUACCGCUGUGCUUACGCCACCUACCUCUGUCGCUCUCGUCGUCGUCGUCGAAGUCGCCGUCGCCACGACAAACAUGCCGCCUCCUUCCUUUCCUCGUCACGCAGAGCCUCUCCCGGGGCGAGUAGUCUCACCCCCUGCACCUCCUCCUCCGCGUGCUCGUGCUACCGCUGCCGCUACCGGCACCCCCGCCGGUCCAGAUCACACCAGCGAGGUACCUAACCAAGACCCAAAACUAUUGAGAUCCGACAACGAUAACUGAACAAACUAGGUAGAGGUGCGGUAGAAGAAAAAGCCACCGCUCCAAAACUAUUUCCCGCUCGCUCGCUCGCGCGCUCUCUCUCUCAUAACUCCUCCCUUACUAAUACAUAUAACCGGAAGAAUAAAAAGUGAAAAGAACGAAUAGUAAUGGGGUCUAACCAUGAUUCGUGUUGAGGACCUUCGGAACACAUUUAUGAUCGGUGUGGUAUUCUCCAGGUUAUAUAUAAAUAUAAAUAUAUAAGUAAGUGGUCUCACGUAUAUAAUA
rnacentral:rRNA from 1 species